GACGAAGGGGGCUAGCGUUGUUCGGAAUUACUGGGCGUAAAGCGCGUGUAGGCGGUUGUCCAAGUUGGAUGUGAAAGCCUUGAGCUUAACUCAAGAAAUGCAUUCAGGACUGGAUGACUAGAGGACCGGAGAGGUUAGUGGAAUUCCCAGUGUAGUGGUGAAAUACGUAGAGAUUGGGAAGAACACCAGUGGCGAAGGCGGCUAUCUGGACGGUUUCUGACGCUAAGACGCGAAAGCGUGGGGAGCAAACAGG
rnacentral:rRNA from 1 species